CAGGAUGAACGCUAGCUACAGGCUAACACAUGCGAAGUCGAGGGUAGCAGGGUAGCAAUACCGCUGACGACCGGCGCACGGGUGAGUAACACGUAUCCAACCUUCCCAUAACUCAGGGAUAGCCUUUCGAAAGAAAGAUUAAUACCUGAUAGUACUUUUUCAAGGCAUCUUGAGAAAGUUAAAGAUUUAUUGGUUAUGGAUGGGGAUGCGUUCCAUUAGAUAGUUGGUGAGGUAACGGCUCACCAAGUCUUCGAUGGAUAGGGGUUCUGAGAGGAAGGUCCCCACAUUGGUACUGAGACACGGACCAAACUCCUACGGGAGGCAGCAGUGAGGAAUAUUGGUCAAUGGGCGAGAGCCUGAACCAGCCAAGUAGCGUGAAGGAUGAAGGUCCUAUGGAUUGUAAACUUCUUUUAUAGUAGAAUAAAGUGAUCCACGUGUGGAUUUUUGUAUGUAUACUAUGAAUAAGGAUCGGCUAACUCCGUGCCAGCCGCUGC
rnacentral:rRNA from 1 species